GAAGGAUCAUUACUGAGCUGUCGACACGAGUUGUUGCUGGUCCUCAAACCGGGGGCAUGUGCACGCUCUGUUCACACAUCCACUCACACCUGUGCACCCUCUGUAGUUCUACGGUCUGGGGGACGCGCCGUCCUCUUCCUGUAGCUCUAUGUUUUUACACACACACACACCGUAGUGAAGUCUUAUGGAAUGUGCAUCGCGUUUAACGCAAUAAAAUACAACUUUCAGCAACGGAUCUCUUGGCUCUCGCAUCGAUGAAGAACGCAGCGAAAUGCGAUAAGUAAUGUGAAUUGCAGAAUUCAGUGAAUCAUCGAAUCUUUGAACGCACCUUGCGCCCCUUGGCUAUUCCGAGGGGCAUGCCUGUUUGAGUAUCAUGAACACCUCAACUCUCACGGUUCGCCUUGAUGAGCUUGGACUUUGGAGGCUUUGCUGGCCUGUCGUCAGCUCCUCUCAAAUGAAUCAGCCUGCCAGUGUUUGGUGGCGUCACGGGUGUGAUAACUAUCUACGCUUGUGGUUGCCCGCCAGGUAACCUUCAGCAAUGGAGGUUUGCUGGAGCUUAUAAACGUCUUUCCUCAGCGAAGACAGCUAUUUGAACGUUCGAUCUCAAAUCAGGUAGGACUACCCGCUGAACUUAAGC
rnacentral:rRNA from 1 species